rfam:Schistosoma mattheei strain Denwood, Zambia genome assembly, scaffold: SMTD_scaffold0011186
AUCAAGUUGACAAGUCCCAAACGGGACGAAACACUCGUCCUGGAU